GCUUGUUAUUGAGGAAGAGAUCCGGUUGCAGAAGACGAACACAGACGUUUGAAAACAGCUUUGUAGCUGAUUGACCACUGAGGCAACACCUUUAAAUCCACAGACCUGAAAAAUGGUGUGACUGAUCAUCAACGCCUGCAGGUACGUGGUGCAGAAGAUCCAGGCUGCAGUGAGGGGGGAGCCGCAGCCAAGGAAAGCCAGCACCACAGCAUGUAGACAGGCAGAAGCACAAAGUGAAGGCAGGAUGAGCUCCGAGGAGCCCGCCUUCACUUCCCGGCCGACGGAGGAGGUGGCCGUCCUGCGGGAGAAGGAGUGUGGGUCCUGAAAGUAAAGCAGGAGCUGGAGGGCAGAGUGGAGGCUGCAUCAACACAAAUACACAAGCACACAAACUAACACACACCCUGGCUGUCGUCCUCUUCAGGUUUAUAAAACCACAGACUUGGUGAGCUGUGAGGCUUCAUCGAGAUUUCAGUGAUCCUCCUGCACUGACUCAGGACUGCAUGUGGUUCUCUUCAAACGUAAUGAAAACUACUUUCAUUCUACUUUUCUGAUUUGUUUUGCAAUUAUCAUCUUGAGCUUCAUCACUUCAUUCAUUGCAUUGAUUUCUUCCACAAUCCCACACACAACAGUCAGACAAAUGAAGCGUGUUGAACUCCCACCUGCUUCCAGCUCUCGGUCUUCUGUCCUACCCGGCCUUCAUCCAGCCCGAGCUGGCAGAGAUAAUGAAAGCCUGAUCACCAACUCCCCAGCAGAGGAGCUGAUCAGUCUGGAAAAACACGAAAGACUCUGCCAAAUCAGAUAUUCAUGUAUUCAUAGGCCUGUUCCUUUUCCCUGUGAUACUCAAUAAAAAGGAAAUAUUUCCUGUG